UACCACAAGUCCACUCUAGAGUUUUGGCUCC
rnacentral:piRNA from 1 species